ACGAACGCUGGCGGCGUGCUUCACCCAUGCCAGUCGCACGGAAAGGCCCUGCUUGCAGGGUACUCGAGUGGCGAACGGGUGAGUAACACGUGGGUGAUCUGCCCUGCACUUCGGGAUAAGCCUGGGAAACUGGGUCUAAUACCAGAUAGGAGCCAUUUUUAGUGUGAUGGUUGGAAAGUUUUUUCGGUGUAGGAUGAGCUCGCGGCCUAUCAGCUUGUUGGUGGGGUAAUGGCCUACCAAGGCGGCGACGGGUAGCCGGCCUGAGAGGGUGGACGGCCACAUUGGGACUGAGAUACGGCCCAGACUCCUACGGGAGGCAGCAGUGGGGAAUAUUGCACAAUGGGCGCAAGCCUGAUGCAGCGACGCCGCGUGGGGGAUGACGGCCUUCGGGUUGUAAACUCCUUUCGCUAGGGACGAAGCUUUUUGUGACGGUACCUAGAUAAGAAGCACCGGCUAACUACGUG
rnacentral:rRNA from 1 species